ACUAGAAAUUCUCAAAACAUUCCUUCAAAGUAUGUAUUAUCCUUAUUUUACAGAUGAGAGAAUUGAGACAAGGAAAUUAUAUGCCGUGCUCAAUAUAAAUACAACUGGCUAUAACUUCAGGAGGGCAAAGUACAUCAUCUCUCUCAUUCACUCCUGUGUCUUGAGCAUCCAGUACUGUGCCAGGCAUAUGCUCUACAGAACAGAAGCAAUGGCCAGAGGAACUGGAGUCGGG